rnacentral:tRNA from 1 species
GUGGUAAUAGCUCAGUAAUAGGGCGCAUGCUUAGCACGCACGAGGUCCUGGGUUCAAUCCCCAGUCCCUCCA